rnacentral:miRNA from 1 species
UUUUCUCUUCUUUUUGUUGUU